rnacentral:rRNA from 1 species
CAGCAGCCGCGGGAAUACGUAUGUCACAAGCGUUAUCCGGAUUUAUUGGGCGUAAAGCGCGUCUAGGUGGUUAUGUAAGUCUGAUGUGAAAAUGCAGGGCUCAACUCUGUAUUGCGUUGGAAACUGUGUAACUAGAGUACUGGAGAGGUAAGCGGAACUACAAGUGUAGAGGUGAAAUUCGUAGAUAUUUGUAGGAAUGCCGAUGGGGAAGCCAGCUUACUGGACAGAUACUGACGCUAAAGCGCGAAAGCGUGGGUAGCAAACAGGAUUAGAGACCCGCGUAGUCCCUGUCUCUUAUACA